rnacentral:rRNA from 1 species
UACGUUGGGGGCAAGCGUUAUCCGGAUUUACUGGGUGUAAAGGGAGCGCAGGUGGCAAGGCAAGCCAGAAGUGAAAACCCGGGGCUUAACCCCGCGGAUUGCUUUUGGAACUGUCUGGCUGGAGUGCAGGAGGGGCAGGCGGAAUUCCUGGUGUAGCGGUGAAAUGCGUAGAUAUCAGGAGGAACACCGGUGGCGAAGGCGGCCUGCUGGACUGUAACUGACACUGAGGCUCGAAAGCGUGGGGAGCAAACAGG